CGGGGCGUAGCGCAGUUGGAAGCGUGUCUGCAUGGGGCGCAGAAGGUCGCUGGUUCAAGUCCAGUUGCCCCGACCA
rnacentral:tRNA from 1 species